UACGGAGGGUGCAAGCAUUAAUCGGAAUUACUGGGCGUAAAGCGUGCGCAGGCGGUUUUUUAAGCCAGAUGUGAAAUCCCCGGGCUUAACCUGGGAACUGCAUUUGGAACUGGAAGACUAGAGUAUAGCAGAGGGAGGUAGAAUUCCACGUGUAGCAGUGAAAUGCGUAGAUAUGUGGAGGAAUACCGAUGGCGAAGGCAGCCUCCUGGGUUAAUACUGACGCUCAUGCACGAAAGCGUGGGGAGCAAACAGG
rnacentral:rRNA from 1 species